AAUGAAUGAUGACAAAAUGUUUCGGUCCCAAAUGAUGUGGAAUGAUUCCAUUUCACCUUUUUCUGACAUU
rnacentral:snoRNA from 1 species